rnacentral:rRNA from 1 species
GAUGAACGCUAGCUACAGGCUUAACACAUGCAAGUCGAGGGGCGGCACGAUGUAGCAAUACAUUGGUGGCGACCGGCGCACGGGUGAGUAACGCGUAUGCAACCUACCUAUCAGAGGGGAAUAACCCGGCGAAAGUCGGACUAAUACCGCAUAAAACAGGGGUUCCACAUGGAAAUAUUUGUUAAAGAUUUAUCGCUGAUAGAUGGGCAUGCGUUCCAUUAGAUAGUUGGUGAGGUAACGGCUCACCAAGUCUACGAUGGAUAGGGGUUCUGAGAGGAAGGUCCCCCACACUGGUACUGAGACACGGACCAGACUCCUACGGGAGGCAGCAGUGAGGAAUAUUGGUCAAUGGGCGAGAGCCUGAACCAGCCAAGUCGCGUGAAGGAUGAAGGAUCUAUGGUUUGUAAACUUCUUUUAUAUGGGAAUAAAGUGAGGAACGUGUUCCUUUUUGUAUGUACCAUAUGAAUAAGCAUCGGCUAACUCCGUGCCAGCAGCCGCCGCCG